AACCGAGAUUCCCCCAGUAGCGGCGAGCGAACGGGGAGGAGCCCAGAGCCUGAAUCAGCAUGUGUGUUAGUGGAAGCGUCUGGAAAGGCGCGCGAUACAGGGUGACAGCCCCGUACACAAAAGCGCAUGUGCUGUGAGCUCGAUGAGUAGGGCGGGACACGUGGUAUCCUGUCUGAAUAUGGGGGGACCAUCCUCCAAGGCUAAAUACUCCUGACUGACCGAUAGUGAACCAGUACCGUGAGGGAAAGGCGAAAAGAACCCCGGCGAGGGGAGUGAAAAAGAACCUGAAACCGUGUACGUACAAGCAGUGGGAGCCCCACCACUAAGCCAGUGGUGAACUCCACAUACGCAUCCUUUGCUGAGGAUACGGUUAACGGAGCGAAAGCGACGUUCAACCGCAAAAGAAGCAGAGGGGGCUUAGUGGUGGGGUGACUGCGUACCUUUUGUAUAAUGGGUCAGCGACUUAUAUUCUGUAGCAAGGUUAACCGAAUAGGGGAGCCG
rnacentral:rRNA from 1 species